GAGGGUAUAGCUCAGGGGUUGAGUGUGUGCUUAGCAUGCACGAGGUCCUGGGUUCAAUCCCCAGUACCUCCA
rnacentral:tRNA from 1 species